UAGAGAUCCUGCCCUCACGGGUAGACCUCCAACCCUGUGUAUUUAUACCUCGUUGCUUCGGCAGGCCGUCUAGGCUUCGGCUUGGCCAUGGGCUUCGGCUCGUGAGUGCCUGUCAGAAGACAUCCAAACUCUUGAUAUUAAUUGUCGUCUGAGUAAAAACUUAAUAAGUUA
rnacentral:misc_RNA from 1 species